rnacentral:lncRNA from 1 species
CUACACGCGAUCACGCUGUUGCCAUUCUAUAAGACGAACAGCUCGCAAGUUGCGCAACAUAUCCUGCAUGUUCAACUGUAGCACAUGCGAUCACAAAAACAUUCCUGAAAGUACCGCUGUUCUAAUGCAUGCAUGAUGCAUGCGCAGCUGCUCCUGUACUAAUGAUGCCAGAAAAACAAGUUGCACAAAAUACGGGAUGCC